rnacentral:tRNA from 1 species
CAAGAUAGAGCAUGAACAUGCAUUUCACUUACAAUGAAAACAUAGAAUAAUUUCUUAUCUUGA